rnacentral:rRNA from 1 species
GACGAACGCUGGCGGCGUGCUUAACACAUGCAAGUCGAACGAUGAAGAAGAGAAACGCGCCCUUCGGUUCAACUUUCACUUCGGAUUAGUGGCAGACGGGUGAGUAACGCGUGAGCAACCUACCUCUUACAAAGGGAUAGCCUCGGGAAACCGUGAUUAAUACCAUAUGACACAUUCAUAAGGCAUCUUAAGAAUGUUAAAGCUACGGCGGUAAGAGAUGGGCUCGCGUCCCAUUAGCUAGUUGGUGAGGUAACGGCCCACCAAGGCGACGAUGGGUAACCGGCCUGAGAGGGUGAACGGUCACAUUGGAACUGAGACACGGUCCAAACUCCUACGGGAGGCAGCAGUGGGGAAUAUUGCACAAUGGAGGGAACUCUGAUGCAGCGACGCCGCGUGAGCGAUGAAGGAAUUCGUUUCGUAAAGCUCUGUUCUAUGGGAAGAAAAGGACUGUACCAUAGGAGAAAGCCCCGGCUAAAUACGUG